GGGUCUGUAGUUUAGUCUGGAUAAAACAUCCGGCUUCGGACCGGAAGAUCCUGGGUUCGAAUCCUAGCAGGCCCG
rnacentral:tRNA from 1 species